rnacentral:rRNA from 1 species
GACGAACCGAGCAAACGUUAUUCGGAAUCACUGGGCUUAAAGGGCGCGUAGGCGGGCCACCCAGUCCGGGGUGAAAUCUUUCGGCUCAACCGGAAAAGGGCCUUGGAUACUGGUGGUCUGGAGGAAGGUAGGGGCAUGCGGAACUUCCGGUGGAGCGGUGAAAUGCGUUGAUAUCGGAAGGAACGCCGGUGGCGAAAGCGGCGUGCUGGACCUUUGCUGACGCUGAUGCGCGAAAGCCAGGGGAGCGAACGGG